rnacentral:tRNA from 1 species
GCGGGUGUGGCGGAACUGGUAGACGCACUGGAUUUAGGUUCCAGCGCCGCAAGGCGUGGAGGUUCAAAUCCUCUCACCCGCACCA